rnacentral:rRNA from 1 species
AUUGAACGCUGGCGGCAUGCCUUACACAUGCAAGUCGAACGGCAGCACGGGUGCUUGCACCUGGUGGCGAGUGGCGAACGGGUGAGUAAUACAUCGGAACGUACCUUAUCGUGGGGGAUAACGCAGCGAAAGUUGCGCUAAUACCGCAUACGCCCUGAGGGGGAAAGCGGGGGACCGUAAGGCCUCGCGCGAUUAGAGCGGCCGAUGGCUGAUUAGGUUGUUGGUGAGGUAAAAGCGCACCAAGGCGAUGAUCAGUAGCUGGUCUGAGAGGACGGUCAGCCACACCGGGACUGAGACACGGCCCAGACUCCUACGGGAGGCAGCAGUGGGGAAUUUUGGACAAUGGGGGCAACCCUGAUCCAGCAAUGCCGCGUGAGUGAAGAAGGCCUUCGGGUUGUAAAGCUCUUUUGUCAGGGAAGAAACAGCAGCUCUAACACAGUCUGCGAAUGACGGUACCUGAAGAAUAAGCACCGGCUAACUACGUGCCAGCAGCCCGCGGUAA